AGCAGUCGCCACGGGAAUACGUAGGUGGCAAGCGUUGUCCGGAAUUAUUGGGCGUAAAGCGCGCGCAGGCGGCCUAUCCAGUCUGUCUUAAAAGUUCGGGGCUUAACCCCGUGAUGGGAUGGAAACUGCCAAUCUAGAGUAUCGGAGAGGAAAGUGGAAUUCCUAGUGUAGCGGUGAAAUGCGUAGAUAUUAGGAAGAACACCAGUGGCGAAGGCGACUCUCUGGACGAAAACUGACGCUGAGGCGCGAAAGCCAGGGGAGCGAACGGGAUUAGAUACCCCCGUAGUCCCUGUCUCUUAUACA
rnacentral:rRNA from 1 species